GGGGAAUUUUGGACAAUGGGCGCAAGCCUGAUCCAGCAAUGCCGCGUGCAGGAUGAAGGCCUUCGGGUUGUAAACUGCUUUUGUACGGAGCGAAAAGGUCUGCCCUAAUACGGUGGGCUCAUGACGGUACCGUAAGAAUAAGCACCGGCUAACUACGUGCCAGCAGCCGCGGUAAUACGUAGGGUGCAAGCGGUAAGCGGAAUUACUGGGCGUAAAGCGUGCGCAGGCGGUUUUGUAAGACAGAGGUGAAAUCCCCGGGCUCAACCUGGGAACUGCCUUUGUGGCUGCAUAGCUAGAGUACGGUAGAGGGGGGUAGAAUUCCGCGUGUAGCAGUGAAAUGCGUAGAUAUGCGGAGGAACACCGGUGGCGAAGGCAAACCCCUGGACCUGUACUGACGCUCAUGCACGAAAGCGUGGGGAGCAAA
rnacentral:rRNA from 1 species